rnacentral:rRNA from 1 species
AUACGUAGGGGCCUGACGUUGUUCGGAAUCAUUGGGCGUAAAGGGCGCGCAGGCGGCCGUCCAAGUCCGGUGUUAAAUGGUCGGGCUCAACCCGAUCAUGCGCUGGAAACUGGGCGGCUUGAGUCCCGUAGGGGAUGCCGGAAUUCCAGGUGUAGGGGUGAAAUCUGUAGAUAUCUGGAAGAACACCGAUGGCGAAGGCAGGCAUCUGGCCGGAGACUGACGCUGAGGCGCGAAGGCGCGGGGAGCGAACAGGUUUAGAUACCCUGGUAGUCCGCGCAGUAAACGAUGCGCACCAGGUGUCGGGCGGCAGCGCCCGGUACCGGAGCAAACGCGAUGAGUGCGCCGCCUGGGGAGUAUGCCCGCAAGGGUGAAACUCAAAGGAAUUGACGGGG